ensembl:snoRNA SNORA70 Small nucleolar RNA SNORA70
GUGCUGCAAAUUAAGCCAACUGUGCUCUCUGCCCUGUGGAACCUGGUGUGCCCUGGCUCCACACAGCAAGUGGGCUGCUCAGUGUAGCAUGCAACAGCUCAUGGUUUGUAUGGGCUUCUCAAAGGACCUUUGUAGUGGACA